UUCCAGUCAGCGCGGCCUUCCAUCCCGCCGCUGUGCCGACCGCCGAGGUGCCGGCCGGACGGAGGAGGACGGCGGCGGGGAAGCACGCAGCUGCGCAGCGACCGCGGGAGGUUUCAGCGAUCGGCCGCAUUGCUGCGGCAGGAGGAGCAGCGCGGGCUUCCGGCGACAAGGCUCCGUCGCGCGAACCAAGACGCGGACUCGACGGGAUUCCGGCGUCAGAAGCAGCGGCUGGGGCCACGCGGCGACUCCGGGACGCCGCUGCCCGAUUCCGGCGCGAAGGCUACGUCGCGCGAAUCACGGCGGCCUUGACCAAGAAGGAGGGGUUCGUGCCGCGCGGCGGCCGGUGCUGGUGAGUUUGGGUCGGUACGUCGCGACGGCGGCGAGCCUGCUCGGCGGCCCACGGUUGGACCUUGGAGCCGCGCGAAGAGAAGGGGAUCCACUCCAAACCCAGCACAGUUCUCUGUGAUGGUGUGGUGGAAAUCAAAGCUACAUGAGGUGAGGUUGAAGUAGCUGUUCUGGCUGCUCGCAGUGCAGUCUUCCCCAAUGCCGAAGGGGUAUGGGAUGGGCACUGCUCCGCACUUGUCAGGGCAGCCUGGCAACGGCAUGGAGCGGUCGGAUGAGGCUCCGGCCUCUGCUGCCAUUGCUGGAAAGGAGAUGCAUACUAUGGAAACUAGCAGGGCUGCUGAUGCUCCUGGCAUGACUGGAUGCCAACAACCCAGUUAAAUCAGAAAUCAGAUGGUUUGGUGUUGGUGGUAACGUGAAGGAGGAUGAAUCAUCGUAGAUUGGCUGGUUGAAGCCUACACAUUAAAAAAAAUCAACAAGGUGAGAACACCACGAUUCCAACCUUUAUGUAUUAGAGAAAAACAAUUAUUUAGCAUACACAUACGCUCUUGUGCUGGAUGGGGACUUUUAUUUAGGUCAGCUGGAUCAUAUCAUCAUUCAUGUAUUGAGAAGCAUGAGAAAACCAGGAGUUAGUGGUGAAUUUUCUUGAUUCGACAAUGUGCUGGCUUGCAUUCUCAGAGGCUGGUCAGCUGGAGCAUGACAACACUCAUUGUAUUGACUAUUGAAGAGCAUGAGGAGACGAGAGCAGCGGUGCAGCACGGAGCAGUGCUGACACCUCCGCAGGCUGCGCCUUCUGGGGCCGGUCCUCGAGCUCCGCCUAGGAAAUCCAGUUGUUGCAUAGUAUGUAUAGUUCCUGAUGAUUGAUUAUUAUUGAUUGGUUGCAAUGGCUAUUGUGUGGUCGAGGCAUUUGGAGGAGAUAAUUUUUGUUGGGGCUUGCCAGGCGCUUGGGUUGGGUUGCUCAUGUACUCUAAGUAGAUCGUUCCUGACAGUAGCAGUUUGCUGUUGUUUGCUAGUUGAAGUAGGAGUUGCUUUUGUAGUAGCAGUUAUAGAUCUAAGUAACCUUGCUGGCCUUGUUGUGCCCGGCAAAACAAUCUACGAAUAUUAUGAAUGAAUGAAUGGAUGGAUGGUUUCAUGGUGCAUCAAGAUGGAACUGAUUGUUUUAACUUUUUUCUCUCUGUGCCCCUCGUCUUCUCGUUGGAACAUCGUAAUAAAUACUCCCUCUGUCCCAAAAUAUAAGAACGUUUUUAACACUAUACUAGUGUAAAAAAAACGUUCUUAUACUAUGGGACGGAGGCAGUAGUACAGUAUGGUUCUUAUUCACUCAGAGGUACCAAAUCUGAGGUGAUCUUUUCAGGCUGUGGGAAAGAGCUGUUCAGUUAACUGAAUGCUGUCUAGAGCUGUUGUUGCAG